rnacentral:rRNA from 1 species
GACGAACGCUGGCGGCGUGCCUAAUACAUGCAAGUAGAACGAGCGGCGGACGGGUGAGUAAUGUCUGGGAAACUGCCUGAUGGAGGGGGAUAACUACUGGAAACGGUAGCUAAUACCGCAUACCAUCAGAUGUGCCCAGAUGGGAUUAGCUCGUAGGUGGGGUAAUGGCUCACCUAGGCGACGAUCCCUAGCUGGUCUGAGAGGAUGACCGGCCACACUGGAACGGAGACACGGUCCAGACUCCUACGGGAGGCAGCAGUGGGGAAUAUUGCACAAUGGGCGCAAGCCUGAUGCAGCCAUGCCGCGUGUGUGAAGAAGGCCUUCGGGUUGUAAAGCACUUUCAGCGGGGAGGCGUUACUCGCAGAAGAAGCACCGGCUAACUACGUGCCAGCAGCCGCGGUAAUAC